AGAGGGGGAAGCAGCGGAUGCAGAGCCACAGCUGGUGCUCAACACGGGGCACAACCAGCUGACAUAACCCACAGCUGGUACCCACGGGAAUCCAACAGGACCUCUGGGUUGAGCAAAAAGGGGGAGUCAACUCAUGGAUUCAGAUACUCUGAAAGGACAUCUGACCUGAUGCCUCCAGUCCAGAGCCACUCUCUGGUGUUAAUGAAAGGAAAUAAAACUUGAGACAUGUGAUUCAUGUAAUUUAUGUCAAAUAGCCCAAAGAGUUGCUUGUGAGCUUUAAAACCUGGGGCUGAGAACAUAGCAGAACAGGCCAGGACAUGCCAGGCAGGCUCAUCAUUACAUGUCCUGACUGACCUAGUGCCUCCCUAUCUCCCGCCCUUCUGACAGUCUGUUGAUGUUUAAAUGAACCAAUCAUGUGAAACGGCGCCAAUUCCUCCCCUAGCCCCACCCCUUUUCUAUAAAAACCCCUAGCUUCCAAGCCUCGUGGUAAGCCUCGUGGUGGAAACCACUGUCUCCUGUGUGAGAUAUGUUUUGAACUGGAGCUCCGCCAUUAUGGCUCCACCAUGUGGUCAACACCUCUGUCUCCUGCUGGAGAUAUGUGUCAGCCCGGAACUCCGUCAUAAAGUACCUCAUGCUUUUACGUCAA
rnacentral:lncRNA from 1 species